AAAAUUAAAUUCCAAUCCUCGUAAGGCGUUAAUCGCUUCAAAUGUAGUAUCAAACUGCUUGUGUUGUGAUAGCGCUGAUCACUUUAUAUAUCGCUGCAAUAGGUUUCUUAAUUUGUCCCCUGAGCUACGUCUUAAAGAGGCAAAAAGACUGCAGCUUUGUACAAAUUGUCUUAAAAAGGGCCACUUCUUAAAACAUUGCAAAUCAUCUGGCUGCAGAGAUUGCAGUUCAAAGCAUCAUACGCUUUUACACGCAAUCCCGAAGGCUGCACCUGUUGUUGAAAAAUUACCUGAUGAUCCCUCAACGUUCAGUGUCGCUCAAACACAUCAAUCGCUCGUUAGCUCUCUCGCAGAGGCCCCAAAUUCUCUUCCUAAUAAUGUGGUUCUGUUAGCCACUGCUGUUAUUUUCGUUAAAAACUGUGUCGGUUCCCUAGUUCCCUGCAGAGCUAUAUUGGAUUCAGCCUCGCAAUUAAAUUUUGUCUCGUCGCGUUGCGCUAAUAUGCUUCGGCUAAAGCGAACUAAAUCGACAACUCUUGUUUCUGGUAUUGGUCAGACAGAUCUUGUUGCUAAUCACACUAUAGAAAUUUCUAUGCAGUCACGGAUUGGUAACUAUACAAAUUCCUUUACUGCUGUUGUUACGCCAUCCAUCACUGAGAAUCAACCCAGUUACACUUUGAACAAUAUCGAGUGGCAGAUACCAUCGAACAUACAAUUAGCAGACCCUUACUUUUACAAGUCUCAACGAAUCGACAUACUUAUUGGAGCGGGUCUAUUUUUUGACCUCUUGUGUGUAGGACAAAUACGGUUGUCUGAUCACCUGCCAUUGUUGCAGAAAACUCGUUUAGGCUGGGUUGUUUCUGGAGGUGCCUUACCCACCACUCGUGCAUCAUCUUGUUUAGCUGCAUUCAAAGCCCAUUCGCUUAAAAAUUAUGUGGAUGCAUCUCUUGAAGAAGCAGUACAGAAAUUCUGGGAAAUUGAAAAUAUUUCUUCUUCUGCAUCAAAGGUUAGCCAGGAAGAAUUGGAUUGUGAAAGACAUUUUCAAGGGCAUUAUACUAGGUUGGAGUCGGGGGAGUAUGCAGUCCGUUUACCAUUUAAACGCAACCCCAAUCAACUUGGGAAUUCAUAUAGUAAUGCACUCAAUCGGUUGAGAAAUAUUGAGCGGAAACUUGAGCGCAAUCCUGAUUGGAAAACUCAAUACGCAUCGUUCAUGUCGGAGUACGCUGUUUUAGGGUACAUGUCUAUAGUCGAUAAAAUUCCGCCUGGCGUAGCAACGUUCUUCUUGCCACACCACUGUGUUUUAAAGGCAGAUAGUACUACGACUAAGCUGCGCGUUGUUUUUGAUGGCUCCGCUCGAACAUCCUCUGGGUUUUCAUUAAAUGACAUAUUACUGACGGGGCCCACUAUUCAGCCUAAACUGUUUGACACUCUUCUUCGCUUUCGCUCUCAUAAGAUCGCCUUGACGGGAGAUAUAGGAAAAAUGUAUAGAUGCGUUCGAAUGUCAGACCGUGAGAGGUAGGCCCAAUGUGUUCUCUGGAGAGCAAAUCGAAAAAACGACCCCCAAAUAUUUAAAUUGGACACUGUCACGUAUGGCACAAAGCCAGCGUCUUUUCUCGCAAUCAGAGCCAUGCAGCAAUUAGCAAGAGAUGAGCGCGUAUCAUUUCCCAUCGGAGCAGAUAUCGUAUUUCGUGACUUCUAUGUCGAUGAUUUGAUUUCGGGAGGUGAAUCUGUAGAACAAGUUCUGGAAAUCAAACGACAAACUAGCGAGUUAUUGUCCAGAGGUAAUUUUAAUAUUCGAAAGUGGUGUUCUAAUAGUCCUCUCGUAUUGUCUGAAAUUACCGAGUGUGAUUGAGAGAAGCUUCUUAAAUUCCACGACGGAACUAAUAUCGCUAAGACUUUGGGAUUAUGCCGGAAUCCAGAUGGUGACGACUUCCUUUUCUCAUUUUCUCCUCAAGUCUCCAAUGAAAAGGUUACCAAACGAUCCGUAUUGUCGAUGAUCGCACGAUUUUACGACCCACUUGGAUUAAUAUGCCCAGUGAUUGCGAAGGCAAUCGUUCCAAGCCAUGUGGAACGAGUUAUACAGGGGCUACGAAGGUAUAGGAAAAUGCAGCUUUCCCAGGUUCGUUUUGCGUAGCAGAGAUAAAGUUGUUGUCCAUGCAUUUUGCGACGCAAGUUUAUCAGUUUAUGGCGCAUGCAUCUAUGCAUCAACUGGAUGCCCUAGCUCAAUUAAAACAGCGCUACUUUGUUCUAAAUCGCGCGUUUCCCCUCUUAAAACCCUUACAGUUCCCAAGCUUGAGUUGUCUGCAGCAGCGUUAUUAGCAGAUCUAGUCGCUUCAGUGGCACGAUUAGGUGCUUUCGGAGCUGAAUUUCAUUGCUGGUCGGAUUCGACGAUUGUACUUUCGUGGCUGAAGGAAUCAUCUUCAAAUUUUAACAUUUUUGUGGCUAAUCGCGUUAGCAGUAUUCAAGCGUUGACUAGUGGAAUGGAGUGGCAUUAUGUGCCCACAGAAAUGAAUCCAGAAGACGUAUUAUCUUGGGGAGCGACACCUCAAGAGCUUGUGAACUCUAAACUAUGGAAAUACGGCCCAGACUUCUUGCGCGGUCCGGUCUACAACUGGCCUCAAUCACCUCUAAACGUCAUCGAUCUUCCUGAGAGACGCAAGCGCGGUCUCGCUUCGACGUUUGUUGCCACCGAUUAUUCAACAACUUCAAAAUUCGCAAACGAUUUUGAUAAAAUGCAAAGAAUAUACGCUUACAUUUACAAGUUCGCCCAUCGUAGCUCUUCUCUCCCUACUACUACUACAGGAAACUUAAGCGCAAUUCACAUUAAGCGUGGAACUCAAUUGCUAGUCCGAAUGAUCCAGAGAGUACAUUUGGCGGCAGAAUAUAAGGUGCUUCAAGAAAAUAAACCGGUUGAUUCAUCUAGCAAAAUCUACAAUCUUAACCCCUUUUUGGACUCGGAAGGCGUAAUUAGAGUUGGUGGAAGACUAGAAAAUUCAACAUUGGACUUCGAAUCGAAACACCCUAUGAUUUUACCGAAAAAAUACCAUCUCACGGAUGCUGUUAUUGCUCAUUAUCAUCGCAUAUUACUUCAUGCUGGGCCACAAUCUUUACUCGCUUCAAUACGGCUGCAGUAUUGGCCCAUAGGUGGCAAGCGUUCGGUAAACCGCAUUGUCAAUAAAUGCAUCAUCUGCUUUCGAGCGAAACCUAUGCUACAAGAGCAUAUAAUGGGUAAUCUUCCACGGGAGAGAGUGCAAGCUAAUCGAGCAUUUGUAGUCACUGGAGUGGACUUUUGCGGUCCAUUCUUUUACAAGUCUGAGGUCCGUAACAAGCCUCCGAUAAAAUGCUACGUUUCUUUAUUCGUUUGUUUCGCAACAAAGGCGAUAUACAUGGACCUGGUUGCUGGUUGUCUACCUCAGCGUUUCUCGCAGCAUUGAAUAGAUUUGUAUCUCUGCGUGGCAAACCGAAAACGAUAUGGUCUGAUAAUGCGACCAACUUUGUCGGUGCCAAAAAUGAGUUGGCUGAAUUACGGCGUUUGUUCAAAAGCAGCUCACACACCGAAGCAAUUGUGCAUCAAUGUUUGAAUGAUGGAAUUGACUGGCAGUUUAUACCCCCCCGCUCUCCGCAUUUUGGUGGACUGUGGGAGGCAGCCAUUAAGUCUGCCAAGUAUCAUUUCAAGCGCACCGUAGGCCUCUCAGUUUUAACCUUUGAUGAGCUGCGUACAUUAACUUGUCAAAUAUCAGCCAUUUUUAAUUCACGACCUUUAUGUCCACUUUCAGAAAAUCCGGAUGACAUAGAAGUAUUAACACCGGCUCAUUUUCUCACUGGAGCUCCACUCACAUCCUUUGUUGAGCCUGAUGUUACGCUAAUUAAUCUAAAUCGGCUCGACAGAUGGCAGCGAGUGUCACGCAUACUGCAGAUUUUCUGGGAGAAAUGGAGCAAAGAAUAUCUGACGAUCUUGCAACAACGAGCUAAGUGGAGUGCCAGCAAAUCAAACCUUUCAGUCGGUGCGAUAGUCCUAAUCAUGGAGGAGAACGUUCCCCCUCUAAAAUGGCAACUAGCUCGAGUCAUCGAUACCAUCAAAGGCAAUGAUGGCGUUUCACGUGUAGCUGUGCUUAAAUUUAGUGGCGGUACAACCAGACGCGCUAUUAAAAAGCUUUGUCCACUCCCAAUAGAGGAUACUUCUGUUGAAACGCAAAGCCUUCCAACGGGGGCAGGAUGUUUAGAGAACAGCUAAACCCUUGAAAACAACAUUGCUUUAUGAAAUCUAUUUGCUUCAGUAUUUUUUCUCUUCACUGUAAUACGGCUUAUGUAUUUACUUUGCAAUUGUAUGUACAUACUUCUAUAUAAGCAUAAUGUAACUAGUGGUUAUCACCUUUGUCAUUUUCUAUUUUCUGCCUUUUGCAUGUGCGAUGUCAUUUAGGUCAUACUGUAAAUACAUAGUAUUAUGUUGAUAAAAUUUUGAGUCUGCAAGAGCAGCUCUGACAUUAAUAAAAGCAGUUCUUGUACAGACAGCGAACCAAGCAAUACUUGUUCAUCCUUUUAAAUUUAUUGGGAAAAUUAUUGCAAAUACAAGUACGGAAAAGGCUCAGUACUUCUU